rnacentral:lncRNA from 1 species
GUGUGAAUGACCAUUGUGAAUCGGCCUUUGUUUAUCGACGAAACCAAGGAAACAAAUUUCAGAUUCAGUGUUCCUCAGCCUCACCUCCGUCAAGAUCCUGGACCCAAGAAUCGUUUGUUACAGUAUCUACUUCUUACACUGUGGGCUUUCUGCCAACAUUGCUACGCUAUCCUUCACUCUGUGGUUACAGUAGUACUCUCUGAAUUGUGACAAUGGGAAGUUUUCUUCUGGACCUGCCUGCACACUGUAGGGCAGCCUCAGCCAUGAGCAACACAGCGAUG